rnacentral:rRNA from 1 species
GCGUGCGGCUGCUAUACUUGCAGUCGAGCGCGGGAAGCAAACUGAAUCCUUCGGGAGGACGUUUGUGGAACGAGCGGCGGACGGGUGAGUAACACGUGGGCAACCUGCCUGUAAGACUGGGAUAACUCCGGGAAACCGGGGCUAAUACCGGAUAACUCAUCGGAUCGCAUGAUCCGAGGUUGAAAGAUGGCUUCUUGCUAUCACUUACAGAUGGGCCCGCGGCGCAUUAUCUAGUUGGUGAGGUAACGGCUCACCAAGGCCACGAUGCGUAGCCGACCUGAGAGGGUGAUCGGCCACACUGGGACUGAGACACGGCCCACACUCCUACGGGAGGCAGCAGUAGGGAAUCAUCCGCAAUGGACGAAAGUCUGACGGUGCAACGCCGCGUGAGUGAGGAAGGCCUUCGGGUCGUAAAACUCUGUUGUUAGGGAAGAACAAGUUCCGUUCGAAUAGGGCGGAGCCUUGACGGUACCUAACCAGAAAGCCACGGCUAACUACGUGCCAACAGCCGCGGUAAUAUA